UUAUGUCAUCCAGAUGCUCUGGCCCUGCUAACACACGACGUAACAGUUACGUAACGUACUGGUAAUUUUUGGUAAUUCCAUGACUUACCAAUUGACAACGUAACUACGACGUCGCAUGCCCGUAAUUUUAUUACCAUCACAUUACCAACUCACAACGUCGUCAGUACGUCCUUCCAACGUGACCAGAUAACCAAGAACGUCCCAGAUAGGUCCUCUAUUGGUAAUAUAUUGGUAACUUCAUGACUUACUGGCAACGUAACUACAACGUCGUAUGCACGUAAUAUCAUUACCAUAUAUUUUUUUUACGUUCUUUAUAUGCUCUCUGAGUAUAGAGCCAUUUAAAAAGUGUAAUUAAACUUCAGACUCAAGAUUAAACGUUCCUUAAAGAUAAAAUAUGUUUCUUUUCACCAAGUCAGAAUAUGGACAUGCUUUUAAUAUAUAGUGACGUGACAUACAGGCGCGCGCUUCCGCAACUGACGCACCGCGCGCACAGUAUUGACAAGAAAAGAGUUGUGAAACUUUCUAUCUCGUAAGGAGUUAUGAACGUGAAAUAGUGACACAGACUGGCUACACCAUCUCAUCUGCAGCAGAGAUUGUUGUAUCAGAAGGACAGCGCGUUUGUUUGACGCACUUUUCACUUCAACUGUGUCUGACAGGAGAAUUAGCUUUCUGAGCCUUCUAGCCGUUGAGUUACCAUGGCAACCGCGUACACAUCAGCUGCUGGAGAGGAGAGGACUCGUCUGACAUUUUCUCUGUUUCUCGUCAGUUAUACGAAAGAAAAGGCCAACAACUGCGACAGAUUUGUUAAGUAACACGUUAAUAUCAUCCACAGUCUACUUUAAGUACUUUUUGUUAAUAUUUAUACCUCUGCGAUUAUGGUAUUUUUCCUGAAAUGUCUGCUAUCAAGUAUUACGCUAGCAUAGAAACAUAAUUAACGUUAUAGCAUAUUAGAUUUGAGCCCUUAUUAAUGAAAGCUUGGCCUUUUAAUUACAUCUUAUGCCUAAAGGAUCGGUUUUGAUCGUUUUGUAAAUGUUUUUGAUGGUAAUUUGUCAAUAGAUAAAUGAAAUAAAGUUAAGCUAAUUAAUUUAACCUAAAAAUCUGCAUUGUAGAGUCUAUCAGUGACGUCACUCGUGGUCUAAAAUGGGCUGAAACUAUUUCAAACCACUGUUUCAAGCUUGUUCUGAUUUAUCAUUGUAAACAAAUAUUGAUAAAAAAAAAUUGUACAGUGAUUUCAGGAGUGUCUUAAAAACCCUCUAAAACAGAGGAGAAGUUCCAAGAAAAUGUCUAAAGGGAGCUGCUGACAGAGAUAGAAAACACAGGUGAUGCUACAAAGCUUAUUAAAUAACUUCAUAUUUAUUUUUUACAAUAUAUCAUCAUGCAUCUGUAAAAUCUAAACAUGUGAAUUCUGGUAUCUAAAGAUUUUUGUAUGUUUUCCAUAUUGCUAUUUUUCUUUUCUGCAUUUCCCCUAUUCUCUAGUUUGUUUAUUUCUAAUAAGGAGCUGGAGGCCGUGAAGAAACAGAUCCAUGAUAUUGUGGAGAAGCAGGCCCAGCUGAGCGAGUGGAGAGCUGUGCUGGAAAUAUUCAGGGGUUGAUGCUCAUAAGUCCAGGGUAAGUAUACAGCUAACCCUACUACCACCUCUACUCUGUGUAGUUCUCUGCAAAGGCCCGGUGUACCCAGGAUGCGAUCUUCCCAGAUGUCCUUCACCCUAUUUCAUAGUGUAAGACAUGAUCCAGGCCCUGGGCGACGACCUCUCUCCAUCCGCCGCCUCCGGUCUUCAGGAUCUCCACCAGAACCCGAUUCGCUCCACUUCGCGAGACAGAACAAAACGCUGUGAUCAUCAGAGACUCCAUCGUCCGGCACGUUUGCGCUAUGUUAGCUGAAGGUAAAGUCCACACUGACUACUUCCCUGGUGCUCAUGUUCUUGAUAUUUCUGCACAGAUUCCCGUGACCCUGAAGAGUGAGGUGGGCAUCAGAGCGGACGGAGACACUGAAGAGGGACUUCAGGAGCCUGAUCAAGACAGUGCGCAGCAUAUCGCCUGCAUGAUGAUCAUCGUGUCAGGACCACUUCCCACGUAUAGAUGAGGACAUGAAAGGCUUUUUAGAUCUCCUGUUGGACAACAUCUCCAGGACACUUCGCUCCAUAUGACUAGGCAGUUUGUGAAGACAGAUAAUCAAGAGAAGUCAGUUCCAGAUCCACCCUCCACACCAGACCUCUCUCUCACGAGGAUUGCUGUCUACUAGCAUAUUGUGUUCUUCAGCUCUUCAGACUUCGGUGGAUGCAGAUAUUACUCAGGGACAUGAACACUAGAAUAUUGCAAGAAUAGAGAAAAGGGACUUUGCGGGGGAUUCUUGAAAAUAGAUUAGCUUCACACAGACGUCUUCUAACUGUCACAGUACUUACAGGUAACGCCAGACUGUCUUUGAUCAUCCUGGAGGUGAUCAUUGGCUGAGCCUUUGCCAUUCUGGUUAUUCUUCUAUCCAUUUUGAUGGUUGUCUUCCGUUUUCUUCCACGUCUCUCUGGUUUUGCUCUCCAUUUUAAGGCAUUGGAGAUCAUUUUAGCUGAACAGCCUAUCAUUUUUUGCACCUCUUUAUAGGUUUUCCCCUCUCUAAUCAACUUUUUAAUCAAAGUACGCUGUUCUUCUGAACAAUGUCUUGAACGACCCAUUUUCCUCAGCUUUCAAAUGCAUGUUCAACAAGUGUUGGCUUCAUCCUUAAAUAGGGGCCACCUGAUUCACACCUGUUUCUUCACAAAAUUGAUGACCUCAGUGAUUGAAUGCCACACUGCUAUUUUUUUGAACACACCCCUUUCAACUAAUUCAACUAAUUGCCCAAUUGCACAGCCUUAAGAGCGUGCAUAUCAUGAAUGCUGGGUCUCAUUUGUUUUCUGAGAAUCUACUGAACCUACUGGUAACUUGUUUGCCACGUAGCAAUAAAAAAAUAUACGAAAAACCUUGAUUAUUCUGGUUAGUCACAUUGUACUGCUAUUAUUUUGAACAAUACUGUAUAUAUUUAGAUAUAUUUUUGUGGCAGUGUGAACUGGCCAUAAUGCUGUAUGAUAGGUGUGAGAUUCAUUAAACUUGAUUUGCUAUAAUACAUCUGUUCAUAAGCUAUUGCAUAUUAUUUUCAAUGAAUUAUUUGUAGUGGUUUGGUUAAGGGUGUGAUUAGCUGAAGAUUAUUGUGGGAUCUUGUGAUUAGUUGAUGAAUGUGUGCAUUGUUAAUGAUAAUAUUUAAAUGCAAUGUACUGAGUGCCUACUAAGACUUGCAUGUUGUGCAUAAUGUUUUGACUCUGGAUGCUUACAGAAGGGUAUAGAUAUUUCAAUAUAUGGAAAUGUAUUUAUUAUUAAUAUAUCUCAAUCUAUGUGCUUCUGUAUGGGCUGAAUGCUUUCAUUCAUAUUUCGCUGUAUAUCCUGUUUUUAUUAAUAAUCUGGGUGUAUUACUGUUCAUAUUUGCUUGUUAAUAAAUUAACUGAAUUCA